rnacentral:rRNA from 1 species
UACGUAGGGGGCAAGCGUUGUCCGGAAUCAUUGGGCGUAAAGAGCGUGUAGGCGGCCUGGUAAGUCCGCUGUGAAAGCCCAGGGCUCAACCCUGGAAGUGCACUUGAAACUGCAUAGCUUGAGUACGGUAGAGGUGAGUGGAAUUCCUGGUGUAGUGGUAAAAUACGUAGAUAUCAGGAGGAACAUCGGUGGCGAAGGCGGCUCACUGGACCAGUACUGACACUGAGGAGCGAAAGCAUGGGGAUCAAACAGG